ACUAUGAUGAUGUAACGUACUGGUGGUUCUGCGAGUUUCGAUCGUGUUUUUGAUAGUACGAGUUGUUCACUUCUUCAGAGCAGGUCGGAAACUUCAGGUCUUUCUUUCUGGAAACUCUACAAGAGUGUCAUAUCUGCUUCGAGGAAGUAAACUGGAAUGUUCACUGAAACGGUGGAACAAAGAGCGACGUACUAUCAAAAACACGUUCGAAACUCGAAGAACCACAAAUACGUCAUCCAAUAAACAUCGUGAAAGUUUAACAUUUAAAAAACUAUUACAUAUAAUCAUAAAGAUACGGUAAUAUGAUAGUUUCACAAGCUUAAUUAUUACCUCAAAUAAUUUUUUUAAACUAAACUCAUUGCCCACAGACGAGGUUAUAGCACCAGAAGAUAACACAUUCGAUAGCCUGGACACAGACGAUAGCACAGGCUCUUCCCAACGAAUUAUACGCGGCAUGUUUGGAUGUGCUCCUUCGUCUACUCUUCAAACUGCUCCAACUCCCCAAACUCGUACAGGGAAACUAGCGCAAACAUCUUAUCGACUCCGUACCAGACCAUUACCACCAGAAAGACAAUAUCUACCCAGAAUAGCUAGAAUGACACCUUGUGGAAAAUGCUUAAGAAUUUGAGGACAACAAAAUGAAAGACUAAUCGACGAAACUAAAUUGUAAUUCAUACAAAGUACAAUUACUACAUUUAGACAAAAACAUGGUCUGCUUUUUCUAGACAAAUUGUAAUCCAUAAGAUCAAUCUCGAAGAGGAUUUUUAUAUUUGAAAAUAAAACUAUUUCUUCGUCUUACGAAGAUAUUGUACAU